rfam:Salmo salar isolate Sally breed double haploid chromosome ssa16, whole genome shotgun sequence.
UGCACUCACUACUGUAAGUCUCUCUGGAUAAGAGAGUCUGUUAAAUGACUCCCU